CCCUUAGAUGUUCUGGGCCGCACGCGCGCUACACUGAUGCAUUCAACGAGUCUAAAACCUGCUCUGAUAGGGGUGGGUAAUCUUUUGAAUGUACAUCGUGAUUGGGAUAGAUGAUUGCAAUUUUUCAUCUUCAACGAGGAAUGCCUAGUAAACGCAAGUCAUCAGCUUGCAUUGAUUACGUCCCUGCCCUUUGUACACACCGCCCGUCGCACCUACCGAUUGAAUGUUUCGGUGAAGAUUCCGGAUAGGACUGAUUUGAUUUAUUUCAUUUCUGACCUAAAAGCCAUCUAAACCUCAACAUUUAGAGGAAGGUGAAGUCGUAACA
rnacentral:rRNA from 1 species